GGGCAUGUAGCUCAGAGGCUUCAGGAGCACCGAGCUGCCAACUCGGAGGUCGCCGGGAAAGCAGCCAGCCAUGCCCA
rnacentral:tRNA from 1 species